UACGUAGGGUGCUAACGUUGUUCGGAAUCACUGGGCAUAAAGAGCGCGUAGGCGGUCUGAUAAGUCAGAUGUGAAAGCCCUGGGCUUAACCCAGGAAGUGCAUUUGAUACUGUAAAGCUUGAGUGUUGGAGAGGUUACCGGAAUACCUGGUGUAGUGGUGAAAUACGUAGAUAUCAGGUGGAACACCGGUGGCGAAGGCGGGUAACUGGCCAAACACUGACUCUCAAACCCGAAAGCGUGGGGAUCAAACAGG
rnacentral:rRNA from 1 species